UACAGAGGGGGCAAGCGUUGUUCGGAAUUACUGGGCGUAAAGGGCGCGUAGGCUGCCCUCUAAGUCAGACGUGAAAUCCCUCGGCUCAACCGGGGAACUGCGUCUGAGACUGGAUGGCUUGAAUUCGGGAGAGGGAUGCAGAAUUCCAGGUGUAGCGGUGAAAUGCGUAGAUAUCUGGAGGAAUACCGGUGGCGAAGGCGGCAUCCUGGACCGAGAUUGACACUGAUGAGCGAAAGCUAGGGGAGCAAACGGG
rnacentral:rRNA from 1 species